rnacentral:lncRNA from 1 species
CUACUGCGGUGGAUGACGUCAAAAACCCGGCUUGUGAAAGGGCGGUAUCUCGGUUAAUAUUGGACGUAGAAAGUCGCUGUUAGGACAGAAAUUAUUAUUUCUAGCUAAUCUAAAAUAAUCAAGCAUCAAAUCACGAUUCUUUGUCCAGCGCAAUUGACCCAUUGGACUUUACACUGAACCAUACCCGAACUGUAUCAAUGGGGCCACUUCAAGACGUUCGGGUUUCAAAAUUGGCUCCAAAACUCAAAUAAAAUUCGUUUAAACUUUUAAAGUUCAAAAUUUGGGAUUUGAAAAAUGCCAGCACUGAAAGAGAAUUUGUGUAAUUUUAAUGCCAUAAACACAUGGCAGAAUGUGUGUUUCAAAUCUUCGUAUUUUUUAAAAUACGGAUUUUCGAACGUCUUCAAACUUGUCUGAAAGGGACAAACUUAGUUCGGGAGUGUGAGAAUAGAUCGUUAGAUAAUUUUAACUAGUUGCUUCCUGAUCCUUCGGUUAGUUCUAGACUUGAGAUUGAACCGUCGGUGAUACUGGAAGACUCUUUUCGACCAAAACGUAGAAAAUUUUUUGCAUUACAAUUCGAAACUUUCGAUUAAUUCUCAUGUUUUUCUCAAAUUUAAUGCUCUCGUUCCUGGAAGAGAGAAAUUUGACGACUGUAGAACGGAAAUUCGGUGCAAUUGCGUGUGGCACAAUGCUUUUUUUUGAUGGGUGAAAUAAUAGUAGAACUUUUGACGUACCGAAGGUUAAAAGCUUCUUUUUGUCGUUGGCGCAGACACAGAGCUUGAAAACGCAAGAUUUUGCGCAGGCACGCCACAUGGAGUUCGACUACCGACGCAAAUAUGCUGACGCGUGUGAUGAGUUCUCCUCUUAUCCUACUUUAUGGAUUUACGUGUUUGCGAAUUUCGAAUGGUGUCGCUGCUGCGAGUCUUGUAAAAAUUGACACGAAGAUACCAAAGCCCAUAGACAUUUUGAAUAAUAUUCCUUCAAGCACCACGACAAACAAUGUUCCAGCUCUUCAAAAAAGGAAUGUUGAAAUAACCCCGAGUGGUGUUAAAUUUGCCGGUCCCGGUAAACGUUCGAUUAGUGGAUUUGGGUCGUCUUACGGACUCAAUUUCAUUACGACCGGAUACGUUGACAUAAAACUGGAAAAGCUCAUCGUUCAAGGAAAAAGUCCGGAUCCAAAUCAGCCUAUCCAGUUCUGAGACAAUAAGAUAUUCGAGGGAGGAAAGCUGAUUUGCUCGAAUCUCAGAGAAAUACAGGACAAACCGACGUACCAAAAAUCGCACGAGGGCGCACUAUGGUUCACGAAUGUCCACGUGGGAGAGCCGAUGUCUAACGACGAGGUCCAGGCGUAUGAGGGUGAUUGGGCGGAGUAUGAAGAUAAAAAGAAGGCGAGAGAUGCCAAGAAAGAACCGCGGGUAGAGAACGAAAGAACUAGCUUGGAAAUUUUGGACGAGAGCAGAAGACUCCAGGAAGUAGAGUUGAACACAGAAAGCGGACAAACUGGUGUAGGAGAACUUGAAACUCAGGAUGGUAGCAGUUAAGAAGAGAGUGAUGAAGGAAAAGAACCUCGGAUGGAAGACGAAAAACUAGCUUGGAAAUUUUGGACGAGAGCAGAAGAUUCCAGGAAGUAGAGUUGAACACAGAAAGCGGACAAACUGGUUUAAUAGGGCUUGAAGCUCAGGAUGGUGGCAGUUAUGAAGAGAGUGAUGAAGGAAAUAAAGUGAUCGUGGUGGUAAUCAUGACAAUGGUGGUAGUAUCAGCGAUAUUAUGGAUGAAGAACAAACUAGAUCCGAAGAUACAAACGCUCAUCAUGAAAUCCAAGAAAACGGCAACCCAUAGUAAAACAAAAAGUGGUUUUAUGAAAAAUUCGACGGUAUUUUUAACAAUUUUGUUUUAAUUGUUGACAAAUUAUUGUUUGAAGUAUUAGUAGCAAUAGUUCAAUAAAUUUUGUUAGGGUUUGAUUAACUGCACUGCUGCACAUACAGAAGUCAGGGCAUUUUGAAAUUUGAUUUAACUUGCAACCAUGGAUUUUCUUCACCCUCUACGCAAAAAACGAGAAAAAGUGAAACAACCAAGAUAGGAAUUUCGUCGCAGUGUCAACAAGGGAAUCAAUCGUAUUAGUGGUAUUCGCCAUGCAUUUUAGAAGUUACAGAAAUCGGGUGCAAAUUUUCCUCAAGACGGCUAAGAACGAUUUCCGGGAUUCAAUAAUAGCAAACAGGGUUUCGUUUACCACCAGUUCGAUAUUUAAAAUCAAAAUCGAGCAUAGAUCGGCUUUCUCUACACUGAAGACUCGCACCAGGACCUGUGAUUGGUUGAUUCAUCUUAAAUUUUUGAGAGACGUAUGAGGAGUAUAGAGACCCCCUAUCGCGUUAGCAGGUGAUCGAACAUUCUUGGAAGACUUGAACGCACGAGAAAGAAAAACAAGUAAUGGCGUGCCCAGGGCAGAGCCUGGAAUCAGCUAUUUCUCGAAUUCUGAGUGGGUAAAUUGCUGUAGUUUAAAAACGUGUUUUGAUAGUUAUGGCUUACAUAUUAUCAAAGAACAACCACGGUGCGCCCCCUGGCAGCUACUCUGCGGCCCAACCCGCCCGCGCCCCCCUUCCAAGGCUUGGCGCUCUAAUGUGUAAGGAAAUUCAAAUAAAUCCAUAAUUUCUGGGCAUACUUGAUUGUGAAUCUCAUUAUUCGAAUAAUUUCCACCCACUUUUCGCAUUUUGAGACCAUACUUUGAUGAAGAUCUUGAUAAUGCAACAUAAAGUUGCGCGUGGCUGAUAAGAGAUCGAUGUAUACAGAAUGAACGAAAAGUAUGGACACUAGUUAAUAUCUCGAGAACGGUUGCAGAUAUUGACCAUCCGGUU